CUUGGGAAUCCCGUGACAUGUGAGGAGCGAACGCACGCUGGAUUUAAAGGGUCUGGUAUCCAACAUGGGUCUUUCUUCGACCAAUCACUAACAAAUGAAUCUGUGGUGAUACGUACCAACUCCGAAAGACAAGAAGAAAACAAAUGCAGCGUAUCGAGACAUCAUCGCUGAGGGUUUUGGAUGUUCAGUCACUGAAGAGGAAAACUAAAAACAGAGAAAAGUGAGGAGACGCUCCGUCGUUCAGGCUGUGCCAGGAAAUACGAGUCAUAUGACUGUGCGUCAAACCUGAGUGAGGUACAGACAGGAAGUCCGGCUUUAUUUAUACUGUAAAUCAUUAAAAAAAAAUCCUCUC